UACGUAGGGUGCGAGCGUUAAUCGGAAUUACUGGGCGUAAAGCGUGCGCAGGCGGUUCGUUAUGUCCGUUGUGAAAGCCCCGGGCUCAACCUGGGAAUGGCAAUGGAAACUGGCGGGCUAGAGUGUGGCAGAGGGGGGUGGAAUUCCGCGUGUAGCAGUGAAAUGCGUAGAGAUGCGGAGGAACACCGAUGGCGAAGGCAGCCCCCUGGGCUAGCACUGACGCUCAGGCACGAAAGCGUGGGGAGCAAAAGGG
rnacentral:rRNA from 1 species